UACGUAGGGUGCAAGCGUUGUCCGGAAUUAUUGGGCGUAAAGAGCUCGUAGGCGGUUCGUCGCGUCGGCUGUGAAACCCGAGGCUCAACCUCGGGCCUGCAGUCGAUACGGGCGGACUGGAGUUCGGCAGGGGAGACUGGAAUUCCUGGUGUAGCGGUGAAAUGCGCAGAUAUCAGGAGGAACACCGGUGGCGAAGGCGGGUCUCUGGGCCGAUACUGACGCUGAGGAGCGAAAGCGUGGGGAGCGAACAGG
rnacentral:rRNA from 1 species